UGUGCACCCUCCUGGCCAUAGGCUCAGCUUGCACCACAUUUCCAUUCUUCUGGUACCAACAAAUCCUGUUUAUUUUGUGUUACCCUCUGAAAACUUGUUAUCAUACAGGCUACACAGUUAACUCCCACGAAGACCUUCAGCGCUGUUAAACGUUAACUAAGCACUGUAGGUUCUAGUAACAAGUGUCCUGAGUUAUAUGUACAGGAGGAGAAGAGCUGAACAGACAUGUACAAGGAAGUGCCUGUGUUAUCCAGCGAGACUCAGAGAGAGCAAGUGUGUGACUACUGAGACAGGAAAGUGAAGAGCAGCACAGAACUACAGUGGGGAACAAGCUUCAGACACACACAAGUAAAGUACGUGAGAAAAGUGGCUGAAGUGCCUGGCAAGGAUUUUCCACACACAGACAGAAUGAAAGUAUGGGACUAAAAUUCUCAUGUUUGAAAGGUCUGCCAUUUUGUAACAGCAAUGAGGAGAUCCCCUCAGGCACUUCUGACAGUCACCUGAAUGUCCCUGAUAUUAUUGUUACCCCACCCACCCCUACGGGGACAAUGACCAGCAGAGCUACAGGGCAAGGGGCCAGUUCAGGGCCUGCGGAUAAAAGCUGUUGCUAAUUAUCACAAACUGCUAGAGAUGAACAAUUUCAGCCAGGGAUGACUUUUUUCAAUAAACACUAGUGUAUUUUUAGAGGUGCCAUGCACAGAUUUGUCUCAUUGGGUAAAGAUGUUUGAAGAUGCAAAAGUGUACUUUAUAUUAUAUACUUAUGUUUUUUGCUUUUA